UACAGGGGGUGCAAACGUUACUCGGAAUCAUUGGGCGUAAAGCGCACGUAGGCGGUUCGUUAUGUCGGAUGUGAAAGCCCUUGGCUUAACCGAGGAAGUGCAUCCGAAACUGGCGAGCUAGAGUACGAAAGAGGAUCGCGGAAUUCCCGGUGUAGAGGUGAAAUUCGUAGAUAUCGGGAGGAACACCGGUGGCGAAGGCGGCGAUCUGGGUCGAUACUGACGCUGAGGUGCGAAAGCGUGGGGAGCAAACAGG
rnacentral:rRNA from 1 species